CACAGAGUUAGCCGGUGCUUCCUCACCCGGUACCGUCAAUCUCUACGAAUAGAGAAGUUCGUCCCGGGCAACAGGGGUUUACAACCCGAAAGCCUUCAUCCCCCACGCGGCGUCGCUGCGUCAGACUUUCGUCCAUUGCGCAAGAUUCCCCA
rnacentral:rRNA from 1 species